GGGGGAAUAAAAGUGCACUGAACAGCACGCACAACAUUAUACAAUUUAAACCUGUGUGAAUAUUUAAACUUGUGUAAAAUUAUAUCAAAUCUUCAGCGUCUACCAUAAUUCCAAAGAAUGUUGACAAAACAGGUGUCUAAAUGCAUGUAAAACACAGACCAGCAUAUGGCGGCUUUCACUAUAUAUAACGAAGCGGAAAUGGAUCUGAACUGCGCUGACCCUAUUAAUACAAACAGUGAAUCGUGAGGGUCUGGAACCAACUCCCCAG